GUGUUUUUUUCCCACGCUUUUACCUGCUGGGCUCUGGUGUUGACCAGUUGGGGAAUAGAGGUGUGUCUGACCAUUACCUGGUCUCCUGACUGGCCUCUCUAUCCCUAGGACUGGUCCCCUGCAGUACAGCCUGCACAAGGCCAUGGAGAGCCCAGCAACGAUCCUUCACGCCUGCCACAGAGGACUGCCCCGGGAGUGCCACUAGCAUGGAGGGUGGUGAAAGAAUUUUUGAGAACUUGACACAUGCCUCCUGGAAUUUGGGGGCAUCUGUGAACGUAGAGGAUUCCCACUUCUCCCCCAGAGAAUGCUGCAGGUGGAAUAAAAUAACCUACCACAGCAGGAGAGCCAUCUGGCAAAAAAACUGAGGACCUCAGUCCAACAGCCAGCGAGGAACUGAAUCUUGCCAAAAACCAUGUGACUGAACUUGGACAUGGAUCCUGUCCCAGCUGAGCCUUGAGAUAAGACUGCAGCCCCAGCUGAUAAUUGAUGGCAGCCUGUGAGAGACCCUGAGUGGACACAUUGAUGGAAAUCCUGAGAGAUUGUUAAGUAGAUGACUCAGUUAGGCCAUGCUAUUCCUGACCCGUAGAAACAGUGAGAUCAUAAAUGUGUUGCUUAAGCUAAGUUUUAUUUUUUUUAAAGGUGGAAUUCAAGAUUAAAAGCAAUAAACAAUACAAAAAGGGGCAUAAAUUGUUCGAUCUUUAAUGAAGAGAUGAGCCAUAAACCUUUAUGUACUAAAUUGUUACAGCAGCUUAAGAUUUAAAACAAAACUCUUAGAAACACAAGAAGAUUUUGAUAAAAACCACAACCAUAAUGGGAGAUUAUAAUAUACCUCCUUCAAAACUUAACUGAUCAAGUACACAAGAAAUAAGGUAGAAAAUAGAUGAUUUGGAGGCACCUGGAUAGCUCAGUCUUUUGAGCGACUAACUCUUGGUUUUGGCUCAGGUCA